CAAUAGCGUAUAUUAAAGUUGUUGCGGUUAAAAAGCUCGUAGUUGGAUUUCUGUCUGAGGCGGCCGGUCCACUUUCUGAGUGAGCAUCUGGUCCGCUUUGGGCAUCCUCCUGGGGAACGUUUCCGCGCUUGAUUGUGUGGUACGGAAUCUAGGACUUUUACUUUGAGGAAAUUAGAGUGUUCACUGCAGGCAUACGCCUUGAAUACGUUAGCAUGGAAUAAUAAGAUAGGACCUCGGUUCUAUUUUUUCGGUUUCUAGAGCUGAGGUAAUGAUUAACAGGGAUAGUUGGGGGCAUUCGUAUUUAACUGUCAGAGGUGAAAUUUCUUGGAUUUAGUUAAAAGACGAACUACUGCGAAAAGCAUUUGCCAAGGAUUGUUUUUCAUUGGAUACAAAGAAACGGUAAAGGUUAGGGAUCGAAAGAUGAU
rnacentral:rRNA from 1 species